AACGAACGCUGGCGGCAGGCCUAACACAUGCAAGUCGAACGAGAACGGAUUAUAGCUUGCUAUAAUUGUCAGCUAAGUGGCGCACGGGUGAGUAAUGUAUAGGUAAUAUACCUCUUACUAAGGGCUAACAAAUGGAAACGUUUGCUAAUACCUUAUACUCCUUAUUAACAGAAGUUAAUAAGGGAAAGAUUUAUUGGUAAGAGCUUAGCCUGUAUUGUAUCAGUUAGUUGGUGGGGUAAUGGCUUACCAAGACUAUGACACAUAACUGGUUUGAGAGGAUGAGCAGUCACACUGGAACUGAGACACGGUCCAGACUCCUACGGGAGGCAGCAGUGGGGAAUAUUGCACAAUGGACGAAAGUCUGAUGCAGCAACGCCGCGUGGAGGAUGACACAUUUCGGUGCGUAAACUCAUUUUAUAUGAGAAGAUAAUGACGGUAUUAUAUGAAUAAGCACCGGCUAACUCCGUGCCAGCCGCCGCGGUAA
rnacentral:rRNA from 1 species